rnacentral:lncRNA from 1 species
AGAGCUGGGACUACAGCCCAGGACUCCCGACCCCAGCGCCCCUCCACUCCCAUUUCCUGGGGGCAGGCUGUGUGCUCUCUCCGCUCCCUCUGCAACUGUCAGACUGGGCCUGGGACUGAGGGGUGCUGGGUUCUGCUUGUUUACACCACGUCGACGAGGUGGGUACUCUGUCUCCCAAAGGCUGCCCCACGGCAAAACCAAGAUUUGCUCAACUCGCCCUGUCUCAAUUCCUCUGACCGCAGCCUUCCAGAGAGGGAGCUUUGCCCAGGGAAUUGAGAUGAAGAAACACUCCAGAGAGGGGACGUGCCUCGCCCAGGGUCCUGCAGAGAUCACGUAGACACCUACAACAGAGGGGACUUGGGCACCACAGGGGACCGUGCAUUGGAUCCUGGCCGGAAGCCAGAAGCCCCUCAAGGACAAGGACCUCCUUGUACCCCACUCCUCCCCGUGGUGCCGACCACAGGGUGCAGCACAUAGUAGGCGCUCAAAAAGUCCUCCACGAUGAGUAAAUCUUUCAUCCUUCAGUAGCUGCAAUCACCUGCCGUUUAUUCAUGUCUUCAUUCAUUUCUCUAGCAACUAGUGAGCACUGACUGUGUGCGUGGCACCCUGCUGGAUGCGGGAACACACAGUUGAAUAAGACACCGUGCCUGCACCCCCUGCACCUGUUGACUUAUCUUCUGGUGGGGGUCUGGGGUUACCCCACAUCACAACACGUGCCCCCAUAGUUUUCCUCACUCCCAACUCAGGCU